rnacentral:rRNA from 1 species
GACCCCUUGAGAGUGGCGAACGGGUGAGUAAUAUAUCGGAACGUGCCCAGUCGUGGGGGAUAACGUAGCGAAAGUUACGCUAAUACCGCAUACGAUCUACGGAUGAAAGCGGGGGACUCGCAAGAGCCUCGCGCGAUUGGAGCGGCCGAUAUCAGAUUAGGUAGUUGGUGGGGUAAAGGCUCACCAAGCCAACGAUCUGUAGCUGGUCUGAGAGGACGACCAGCCACACUGGAACUGAGACACGGUCCAGACUCCUACGGGAGGCAGCAGUGGGGAAUUUUGGACAAUGGACGCAAGUCUGAUCCAGCCAUUCCGCGUGCAGGAUGAAGGCCCUCGGGUUGUAAACUGCUUUUGUACGGAACGAAAAGGUUUCUCUUAAUACGAGGAGCUCAUGACGGUACCGUAAGAAUAAGCACCGGCUAACUACGUGCCAGCAGCCGCGGUAAUACGUAGGGUGCAAGCGUUAAUCGGAAUUACUGGGCGUAAAGCGUGCGCAGGCGGUUAUAUAAGACAGAUGUGAAAUCCCCGGGCUCAACCUGGGAACUGCAUUUGUGACUGUAUAGCUAGAGUACGGUAGAGGGGGAUGGAAUUCCGCGUGUAGCAGUGAAAUGCGUAGAUAUGCGGAGGAACACCGAUGGCGAAGGCAAUCCCCUGGACCUGUACUGACGCUCAUGCACGAAAGCGUGGGGAGCAAACAGGA